rnacentral:lncRNA from 1 species
UGUUGUCAAGACAUAUUGUAAUCAAAUGUCUGAACACUAAACACAAAAGAAAAAUCUUGGGAUUGGAGAGAAUCUGUGCAUUACUAGUAAGAGAAAAACAAUUCAAAUAACAGCAGAUUUCUCAUAAGAAAUCAUGGAAGCCAGGAGGAAACAGAACCCAUUAACAAUGCUCAGAGAGAAGAACUGCCGUUCACAAAUUCCAGUAAAAUAUCCUUCAGGGAUGAAGAUGAGAGACUUCCUUAGAUAAAUGAAAGCAAAGAGAGGUUUUUUUGUCAGUGGAAUCACUGAAAGAGCAGCUAACGAAGUUUUUCGAGUAGGAGAGAAGGAAAAUGCAGGAACCAGGAUGAAGGGCACCCCAGGUGGAAAACACAUGGAGAGCACAACUUCAUGAUCCCAUAAUGACAGCUGAAGCUGAAAGUGGUGACCAAGAUAAGGAAGGCUUAACAUUGUAUUGAAAAUGGCCACACAAAACGAUGGAGUCCUGUCACAAAUCUGACAGGACACAGCUCUCCAGCUGCCUUUGUGACCUGAGUCUCCAAAUCUUCCAUGAGGUUCCACUUUAAACACACAACAGAUGCACACAAAGCCUCAGCAAUUGGUGAAGUAUAUUAUUGUAACCAGCAAACCAAAUCUGAAAGCCUUAGGCAAGAGUUUUCACAAAGCACAUUGGGGGAAAUGCCAGCUUAGAUGAUGAUAGAGGUUCUGAUUAGGACUUUGCCCACAUCUUAAGUAAAUAAAUCCUGAACCCUGGUUACCACCCAGAAUGGUUUUUCUUGAAUGGAAUUAUUACUCAGUGAAAAGAUAAACAUGAAAAUUUGAAACAGAAGUUUUCUAUGCAUUGGUAUUACACUUAAGAACUUAGAAAAGGGGGAAGAAGAAAAGUCAGCCCCCUCUAUGGUCCUUACUUCUGAGUACUUGCACCCAUAAUCGCUUCCUUUAUGAGUCCCUCAGCCUGAAAUAAGCCUCUUGAUAUCAUGGCGCCUUCCUAAUAAAUUUCUUAUCAGCAUUCAAAUGUCCACUUUUCUUGCUCCUACAUCUAACCAUGAAUCAGACUCAAAAUAAAACUCAUCUCAAU